GAGAACUGACAAAGAUCAUCACCUUUUAGGUGGGUUAAAAGUUGAAGAACACACACAAGCAAUCAAAAACUUGCGAGGGAAAAUCAGUAUGCAUGUGAAUGAAGUACUGUAAUCUUUCUGGUAUAUAAAAACCCUAGUUAAAAACGUAGAUCUCUGUUGAACUGUAUGUACUUAUAUGCAUGAAUAUAUAUAUAUAGUUCCAUUCUAGAGCGGUGUUCCGUUUUGAAAUUAAAAUAUGGACCUUCUUAUUUCGCUUAGUUUCAGUUCGCAUUUCCACAUCUCAACCGUACAAUGUUUAGAACACAGUGUAUAGAUCAUUUCUGCAAAGUUUUAUCCAAUUUGAAGAUCAUUUGAGCUUCCGUAAUCGUGAUUUACACAAACGGUUCUGUUGAUUUAUUUAAUCUAAUUCGGUACCCAAAUGAUCUUCAAAUUGGAUGAAACUUUGCAGGAAUGAUCUACACACAGUGUUCUAGACAUUGUACGGUUGAGAUGUGGAAAUGCGACCUGAAAAUGAGCGAAAUAAGGAGGUCCACACUUUAAUUUUAAAGCGGGACACCGCUCUGAAAGGGAACUAUAUAUAUACAUACAUAUGUAUAUAGGGCCCUUCCAUUGAGGGAUCCCUAUUUUUGACUAUUUCUAAGGAUAGGGCAUUACACCAACUUCCUGAUCAAAUUUUUGCAUUUACACCGUUCAAUUCAUUGGGUUAUAUGAAUAGAUAUAUCUACUGGUGAAGCUUCUAUUCCAAUUGUAAUUUUAUAUAAAUUAUUUGUAAUAUAUGUAUGACAUUUCCUUUUCUGAACAGGGUUAUAGCAGAUGUCGUUAUCCCAACUGAAAGUCCAUAUAAUGUUAACAAUAUAUUGGUCACUAAACUUUGGAUUAUUCUUUUC
rnacentral:lncRNA from 1 species